rnacentral:rRNA from 1 species
UACGUAGGGACCAAGCGUUGUUCGGAUUUACUGGGCGUAAAGGGCGCGUAGGCGGCCACCGCAAGUCGACUGUGAAAUCUCCGGGCUUAACUCGGAAAGGUCAGCCGAUACUGCGGGGCUAGAGUGCAGAAGGGGCAACUGGAAUUCUCGGUGUAGCGGUGAAAUGCGUAGAUAUCGAGAGGAACACCUGCGGCGAAGGCGGGUGCUGGGCUGACACUGACGCUGAGGCGCGAAAGCGUAGGGGAGCGAACGGG